GUAAGCCAUGCGGCCGCGUGCAGGACGAUACAUCGUCAUCUGCAUGAGGAAAGUCCGGGCUCCGCAGGGCAGGGUGCCGGAUAACGUCCGGCGGAGGCGACUCCAGGGACAGUGCAACAGAGAUAUACCGCCGCGCCUAUGCGCGGUAAGGCUGGAAAGGCGAGGUAAGAGCUCACCGGCGUAUCGGGUAACCGAUAUGCCCUGUAAACCCCACCCGGUGCAAGAUUGGAAUGGGAGCGCUUGCGGCUAUGCCGCAGAAAUGGCUGCCCGUCAUGCUCCUGAUAAUCGCGUGAGCGCAACGGUGACGCUGCGCCAAGAUAGAUGGCCGCACGUUGGGAAACCAACCGACAGAACCCGGCUUAUUGCUUG
rnacentral:RNase_P_RNA from 2 species